UUGGUCAGCCGCAGUGAAUAGGCCCAAGCGACUGUUUACCAAAAACACAGGUCUCUGCUAAUUCGUAAGAAGAUGUAUAGGGGCUGACACCUGCCCGGUGCUGGAAGGUUAAGAGGAAGGGUUAGCUUCGGCGACGCUCUGAAUUGAAGCCCCAGUAAACGGCGGCCGUAACUAUAACGGUCCUAAGGUAGCGAAAUUCCUUGUCGGGUAAGUUCCGACCCGCACGAAAGGUGUAACGAUUUGGGCACUGUCUCAACGAGAGACUCGGUGAAAUUAUAGUACCUGUGAAAAUGCAGGUUACCCGCGACAGGACGGAAAGACCCCAUGGAGCUUUACUGUAGUUUGAUAUUGAGUGUCUGUACAGCUUGUACAGGAUAGGUAGGAGCCAAUGAAGCCAGGACGCCAGUCUUGGUGGAGGCGCUGGUGGGAUACUACCCUCGCUGUAUGGCCACUCUAACCCACGACCGUUAACCGGUCGGGAGACAGUGUCAGAUGGGCAGUUUGACUGGGGCGGUCGCCUCCCAAAAUGUAACGGAGGCGCCCAAAGGUUCCCUCAGAAUGGUUGGAAAUCAUUCGUAGAGUGUAAAGGCAGAAGGGAGCUUGACUGCGAGACCUACAAGUCGAGCAGGGACGAAAGUCGGGCUUAGUGAUCCGGUGGUACCAUAUGGAAGGGCCAUCGCUCAACGGAUAAAAGCUACCCUGGGGAUAACAGGCUUAUCUCCCCCAAGAGUUCACAUCGACGGGGAGGUUUGGCACCUCGAUGUCGGCUCAUCGCAUCCUGGGGCUGUAGUCGGUCCCAAGGGUUGGGCUGUUCGCCCAUUAAAGCGGUACGCGAGCUGGGUUCAGAACGUCGUGAGACAGUUCGGUCCCUAUCCGUCGCGGGCGUUGGAGAUUUGAGAAGAGCUAUCCUUAGUACGAGAGGACCGGGAUGGACACACCGCUGGUGUACCAGUUGUCAAGCCAUUGGCAUCGCUGGGUAGCUAUGUGUGGACGGGAUAAACGCUGAAAGCAUCUAAGCGUGAAGCCCCCUUCAAGAUGAGAUCUCCCAUUCCUUUAAGGAAGUAAGACCCCUGAAAGAUGAUCAGGUAGAUAGGCUGGAAGUGGAAGCAUAG
rnacentral:rRNA from 1 species